GCCAGUUGGAGUGGUGCGUGCCUAUAAUCCCAGCUAGUUGGGAGGCUGAGGCGGGAGGAUCACUUGACGCCAGCAGUUCUGGGCUGUAGUGCGCUUUGCCCAUCAGGGGUUCACACGCUAAGUUUGGCAUCAAUAUGAUAAUCUCCCGUGAACGGGGGGGCCUCAAGGUUACCUAAGGAGAAGUGAACUAGCUUCUCCACAGAGCAUGGCCCAUGUAAGUCCCGUGCUGAUCCUCAGUGGGAUGGCGCCUGUGAAUAGCCAGUUAUUGCACUCCAGCCAGAACAACAUAGCAAGACCCUGUUUCAA
ensembl:misc_RNA Metazoa_SRP Metazoan signal recognition particle RNA